UACGUAGGAGACGAGCGUUGUCCGGAAUCACUGGGCGUAAAGCGCGUGUAGGCGGAUCGGCAAGUCUGCUGUGAAAGCUCCUGGCUUAACCGGGAGUGGUCGGUGGAAACUGCCAGUCUGGAGGACGGUAGAGGUAGGUAGAAUUCCCGGUGUAGUGGUGAAAUGCGUAGAGAUCGGGAGGAAUACCUGUGGCGAAGGCGGCGACCUGGACGGACAUUGACGCUGAGACGCGAAAGCGUGGGGAGCAAACAGG
rnacentral:rRNA from 1 species